rnacentral:rRNA from 1 species
CCUACGGGAGGUAGCAGUGGGGAAUAUUGCACAAUGGGGGAAACCCUGAUGCAGCAACGCCGCGUGGGUGAAGGAGCGUUUCGGCGCGUAAAGCCCUGUCAGCCGGGAAGAAGAAAGACGGUACCCGACCGAGAAGCCCCGGCUAACUACGUACCAGCAGCCGCGGUACUACGUAGGGGGCGAGCGUUAUCCGGAAUUACGUGGUGUAAAGGGAGCGUAGACGGCGAGGUAAGCCGGAAGUGGAAGCCCGGGGCCUAACCGCGGAACUGCCUUGGGAACUGUUUUGCUGGAGUAUGGGAGGGGUAAGCGGAAUGCGUGGUGUAGCGGUGAAAUGCGUAGAUAUCAGGAGGAACACCGGUGGCGAAGGCGGCGUACUGGACCAUAACUGACGUUGAGGCUCGAAAGCGUGGGGAGCGAACAGGAUUAGAUACCCGUGUAGUC